rnacentral:rRNA from 1 species
UACGAAGGGUGCAAGCGUUACUCGGAAUUACUGGGCGUAAAGCGUGCGUAGGUGGUGAGUUAAGUCUGUCGUGAAAGCCCCGGGCUCAACCUGGGAAUGCCGGUGGAUACUGUCGGGCUAGAGUGCGGAAGAGGCGAGUGGAAUUCCUGGUGUAGCGGUGAAAUGCGCAGAUAUCAGGAGGAACACCGGUGGCGAAGGCGGAUCUCUGGGCCUUACCUGACGCUGAGGCGCGAAAGCUAGGGGAGCGAACAGG